UACGGGGGGUGCGAGCGUUGUCCGGAAUCACUGGGCGUAAAGGGCGCGUAGGCGGUUUGAUAAGGGUGUGGUGAAAGUCCGGGGCUCAACCCCGGAUCUGCCGUGCCGACUGUCAAACUCGAGGGCUGUAGAGGGGGGUAGAAUUCCAGGUGUAGCGGUGAAAUGCGUAGAGAUCUGGAGGAAUACCGGUGGCGAAGGCGGCCCCCUGGACAAAGACUGACGCUCAGGUGCGAAAGCGUGGGGAGCAAACAGG
rnacentral:rRNA from 1 species